rnacentral:rRNA from 1 species
AUUGAACGCUGGCGGCAUGCCUUACACAUGCAAGUCGAACGGUAACAGGUCUUCGGACGCUGACGAGUGGCGAACGGGUGAGUAAUACAUCGGAACGUGCCUAGUAGUGGGGGAUAACUACUCGAAAGAGUGGCUAAUACCGCAUGAGAUCUACGGAUGAAAGCAGGGGAUCGCAAGACCUUGUGCUACUAGAGCGGCCGAUGGCAGAUUAGGUAGUUGGUGGGAUAAAAGCUUACCAAGCCGACGAUCUGUAGCUGGUCUGAGAGGACGAUCAGCCAAACUGGGACUGAGACACGGCCCAGACUCCAACGGGAGGCAGCCGGGGGGAAUUUUGGACAAUGGGCGAAAGCCUGAUCCAGCAAUGCCGCGUGCAGGAUGAAGGCCUUCGGGUUGUAAACUGCUUUUGUACGGAACGAAAAGCCCCGGGUUAAUACCCUGGGGUCAUGACGGUACCGUAAGAAUAAGCACCGGCUAACUACGUGCCAGCAGCCGCCGUAA